GAUGAACGCUGGCGGCGUGCCUAAUACAUGCAAGUCGAGCGAACAGACGAGGAGCUUGCUCCUCUGACGUUAGCGGCGGACGGGUGAGUAACACGUGGAUAACCUACCUAUAAGACUGGGAUAACUUCGGGAAACCGGAGCUAAUACCGGAUAAUAUAUUGAACCGCAUGGUUCAAUAGUGAAAGACGGUUUUGCUGUCACUUAUAGAUGGAUCCGCGCCGCAUUAGCUAGUUGGUAAGGUAACGGCUUAGCAAGGCAACGAUGCGUAGCCGACCUGAGAGGGUGAUCGGCCACACUGGAACUGAGACACGGUCCAGACUCCUACGGGAGGCAGCAGUAGGGAAUCUUCCGCAAUGGGCGAAAGCCUGACGGAGCAACGCCGCGUGAGUGAUGAAGGUCUUCGGAUCGUAAAACGCUGUUGUUAGGAAAGAACAAAUGUGUAAGUAACUAUGCACGUCUUGACGGUACCUGAUCAAAAAGCCACGGCUAACUACGUG
rnacentral:rRNA from 1 species